AUCUGUUUUAGGCUGGUUAAAUUUUGCCCCUGCCACCGCUUCGUAUCUUUUGAUGGCGUCUUCUACAUGAGGUAGCUGCCCUUCAUCAGAUAC